rnacentral:misc_RNA from 1 species
AAGUCGUAACAAGGUUUCCGUAGGUGAACCUGCGGAAGGAUCAUUAACACGUAUCCACGUUUAUCAACCCAUGCGAACUUGUUUUCACCCCCUUCUCCCUUCUAUUUAAACAUGAAUUGAGUUUUAUUAAUGAGAGAUUUUGAUUGGGAUGUAUCUCUGAUACGUCGGUCUCUUAUUGGUCCUUUGAUUUGGUCAAACAAAUCCGAGCAAUUGUAGUUUGAAUGAUGAAGGCAAAAAAACCUUCUUAUGGUUUUGAUCUCCAUUCAAGAUCGAAGCUGUAGGAUAAAACAUUAUUAUUAAUCACCCAUUUAACCACCCUUUUUGCUAGUUGACUUUUUUAAUUUGUGACACGAAGUAACAUUUGUUUCACACGUUUAUAAUAUUUAUUUGAACGUUAAAAUCAUACAACUCUUAGCAAUGGAUAUCUUGGUUCUC